rnacentral:misc_RNA from 1 species
GUAUUGUAUUGCGUUAAACGCAGAUGCAUUCCAUGAGACUUUGUUACAGUGUGUGUGUAAAGAUGCAGAACCACAGCAGGAGGACAGGUCCCCCCAACCACAGAACUACAGAGGGUGCACAGGGUGUGAGUGGAUGUGUUAACAGAGCGUGCACAUGUCCCUGUUUGAGGACCAGCAACAACUCUUGUUGACAAUUCGGUAAUGAUCCUUCCGCAGGUUCACCUACGGAAA